ACCAGGGCUCCGAGUCCUUCUAUCUGGGAGGCCCAGGCGGCUUCGAGUUCUGAGAAUAGACAGAACCUCUGUUGCUCUGUGACCUGCAGGCACUGGGAGAUCCGUAGCUAAGACGCCAGGACAUCCCGGAAGCUGGGAAAUGAUAUCUUUUCUCAUGAUUCUCAAGGCCUCUUAAGAAAGAAGCUUAUAGAAGCAUCAUUCCAAAAAGUGAUAUUGGAUGGAUAUGGCAGCUGUGGCCCUCAGAAUUUAAACUUAAGGAAAGAGUGGGAAAAUGAGGGCAAAAUAAUCCUAUGGUGAAAAAAAUCAACACAGAUAAUCUCUGCUUGAGAAAAAGGAUCAAAGACAAGUGAAUUUUCUGAGGGUGAUGAAAGUAUUACUUUGAAAAGGG
rnacentral:sRNA from 1 species